UAGGAAUUGGUGGAAUAGGGAGUCAUUCUGCGACGGGCGCGAACGUGCCGUGGCAGUAGAGGUCCUGUCAGUGGCUGGGGUGUGGACUGCGUUGCAGUCACCCCCUACCACGAGACGCACAGUUGAGUAAGUGUUGAGGUGUGUGGUCAGUUGUUGCCAGAAUUAGGUAUCUGGUAUCGUAGGUGCGUAGAUCGAGGAGAAGGCGUAGGUUGUAGUGCCCACUUUCCCCUGUAUUGUUACGUAGCGUCCCUGGGGGUCCCUGUUGCAUACCACGUCUGAGAGGAGGCAAUUGGCUCUCAGAAUAAUUGCCACUCCUUUCGUUUUGGAGUCUGGGGAGAGAGCCAUAUAGC